GACGAACGCUGGCGGCGUGCUUAACACAUGCAAGUCGAACGAUGAUGCCCAGCUUGCUGGGUUGAUUAGUGGCGAACGGGUGAGUAACACGUGAGUAACCUGCCCCUGACUCUGGGAUAAGCGUUGGAAACGACGUCUAAUACUGGAUAUGAUCGCCAGCCGCAUGGUCUGGUGGUGGAAAGAUUUUUUGGUUGGGGAUGGACUCGCGGCCUAUCAGCUUGUUGGUGAGGUAAUGGCUCACCAAGGCGACGACGGGUAGCCGGCCUGAGAGGGUGACCGGCCACACUGGGACUGAGACACGGCCCAGACUCCUACGGGAGGCAGCAGUGGGGAAUAUUGCACAAUGGGCGAAAGCCUGAUGCAGCAACGCCGCGUGAGGGAUGACGGCCUUCGGGUUGUAAACCUCUUUUAGUAGGGAAGAAGCGAAAGUGACGGUACCUGCAGAAAAAGCACCGGCUAACUACGUGCCAGCAGCCGCGGUAAUACGUAGGGUGCAAGCGUUGUCCGGAAUUAUUGGGCGUAAAGAGCUCGUAGGCGGUUUGUCGCGUCUGCUGUGAAAUCCCGAGGCUCAACCUCGGGCUUGCAGUGGGUACGGGCAGACUAGAGUGCGGUAGGGGAGAUUGGAAUUCCUGGUGUAGCGGUGGAAUGCGCAGAUAUCAGGAGGAACACCGAUGGCGAAGGCAGAUCUCUGGGCCGUAACUGACGCUGAGGAGCGAAAGCAAGGGGAGCGAACAGGAUUAGAUACCCUGGUAGUCCAUGCCGUAAACGUUGGGCGCUAGAUGUAGGGACCUUUCCACGGUUUCUGUGUCGUAGCUAACGCAUUAAGCGCCCCGCCUGGGGAGUACGGCCGCAAGGCUA
rnacentral:rRNA from 1 species